UACGUAGGGUGCGAGCGUUGUCCGGAAUUAUUGGGCGUAAAGAGCUCGUAGGCGGUCUGUCGCGUCGGUCGUGAAAACUUGGGGCUUAACCCUGAGCUUGCGGUCGAUACGGGCAUGACUGGAGUUCGGUAGGGGAGACUGGAAUUCCUGGUGUAGCGGUGAAAUGCGCAGAUAUCAGGAGGAACACCGGUGGCGAAGGCGGGUCUCUGGGCAGUAACUGACGCUGAGGAACGAAAGCGUGGGUAGCGAACAGG
rnacentral:rRNA from 1 species